UAUUAACUUUGUUGCUUUGGCAGGCCUCCGGCUUCGGCUGGGUCGCGUCUGUCAGAGGCCUAACUCUUGAAUCUCUGCUGUCUGAGUACUAUCUAAUAGUUAAAACUUUCAACAACGGAUCUCUUGGUUCUGGCAUCGAUGAAGAACGCAGCGAAAUGCGAUAAGUAAUGUGAAUUGCAGAAUUCAGUGAAUCAUCGAAUCUUUGAACGCACAUUGCGCCCUCUGGUAUUCCGGGGGGCAUGCCUGUUCGAGCGUCAUUACAACCCUCAAGCUCUGCUUGGUGUUGGGCUCGCCCUGUAGGGCCUGCCUCAAAGUCAGUGGCGGCACCGUCUGACCCUAAGCGUAGUACUACUCGCCGCUUCUGGAAUCGGUCGGCUGCCUGCCAGCCUAACCCCCACCAUCAAGGUUGACCUCGGAUCAGGUAGGGAUACCCGCUGAACUUAAGCAUAUCAAUAAGCGGAGGAAAAGAAACCAACAGGGAUUGCCUCAGUAACGGCGAGUGAAGCGGCAACAGCUCAAAUUUGAAAGCUGGCUCCUUUGGGGGCCCGCGUUGUAAUUUGUAGAGGAUGCUUCGGGUGCGGCGCCGGUCUAAGUUCUUUGGAACAAGACGUCAUAGAGGGUGAGAAUCCCGUAUGUGACUGGUUGCCUGUGCCCGUGUGAAGCUCCUUCGACGAGUCGAGUUGUUUGGGAAUGCAGCUCUAAAUGGGUGGUAAAUUUCAUCUAAAGCUAAAUAUUGGCCAGAGACCGAUAGCGCACAAGUAGAGUGAUCGAAAGAUGAAAAGCACUUUGGAAAGAGAGUUAAACAGUACGUGAAAUUGUUGAAAGGGAAGCGCUUGCAAUCAGACUUGCGCGGCGUCGAUCAGCCUGGGUUCUCCCUGGUGCACUCGGCGCCGCUCAGGCCAGCAUC
rnacentral:rRNA from 1 species